UCCGUAGGUGAACCUGCGGAGGGAUCAUUACACAAAUAUGAAGGCGGGCUGGAACCUCUCGGGGUUACAGCCUUGCUGAAUUAUUCACCCUUGUCUUUUGCGUACUUCUUGUUUCCUUGGUGGGUUCGCCCACCACUAGGACAAACAUAAACCUUUUGUAAUUGCAAUCAGCGUCAGUAACAAAUUAAUAAUUACAACUUCCAACAACGGAUCUCUUGGUUCUGGCAUCGAUGAAGAACGCAGCGAAAUGCGAUAAGUAGUGUGAAUUGCAGAAUUUAGUGAAUCAUCGAAUCUUUGAACGCACAUUGCGCCCUUUGGUAUUCCAAAGGGCAUGCCUGUUCGAGCGUCAUUUGUACCCUCAAGCUUUGCUUGGUGUUGGGCGUCUUGUCUCUAGCUUUGCUGGAGACUCGCCUUAAAGUAAUUGGCAGCCGGCCUACUGGUUUCGGAGCGCAGCACAAGUCGCACUCUCUAUCAGCAAAGGUCUAGCAUCCAUUAAGCCUUUUUUUCAACUUUUGACCUCGGAUCAGGUAGGGAUACCCGCUGAACUUAAGC
rnacentral:rRNA from 1 species